rnacentral:rRNA from 1 species
CACGGGGGGGAGCAAGCGUUGUUCGGAAUCACUGGGCGUAAAGAGCGUGUAGGCGGCCAUGUAGGUCCGGUGUGAAAACUCGAGGCUUAACCUCGAGAUGUCAUCGGAAACCAUUUGACUAGAGUCCGGAAGAGGAGAGUGGAAUUCCUGGUGUAGCGGUGAAAUGCGCAGAUAUCAGGAAGAACACCAAUUGCGAAGGCAGCUCGCUGGGACGUUACUGACGCUGAGACGCGAAAGCGUGGGGAGCAAACAGG